CACACACACACACACACACACACCCUGAAAGGGCUUUCCUUGUCUUAAGCCUCUGUGUAUGAAACACUCUGGAACCCACUGGCCUAGGUGUUAGAACAGCACCGAAGUUGCCAGGGCCAGGGGUCCAGCCAUCCUGACCUCUGCUAGCCACCCUGCAAGGGCCGAUGUUCCCACGCAGGAGGCCCCAGGGAGGUGGUACUGAGCAACCGGCCACACCCAACAAAACAGCUCAGAGCUCAACUUCUUCCUGAAUUAGGCCACACCCGAGGCCUCCCGGUUCUCAUCCACGCCUCUGGGUCCAUCACUAAACAGAAGGCACAAACCCACUAACUCUUACUCCAUCGCUGCUCAUGAAACUCCUGCCAGUAAAGACUGGGUCAAGCACCUGAAAACCAGAGUUCAUCCGUGGCUUCACUUGUUUUGGACUAAGGAGCUGAGGAGCGUGCGAGACCGUACUUGGAGAAUCUGUUUUUUGCUGCCAUUUCGUCACUGAGCACUAUUUAUUUUUUUUUCUCCUUCUUUUUUUGUAAGAAAAGGAGAACACAUAAAACCCCACCAGAACAAACUCCACUCGGCCCUGAAAGUAUUUACAAUCACGGCCCUGAAAGUAUUUACAAUCACGUUACAGUUCAUUCACUGCUGCAGAACCUCUCUCCAGCGCUCAAGGUUGAAGGGAGCCGACGUCGCCCUCUAUCGGCUCCGUGCUGCACCAGAAGGUAAUUUAAACGAAAAGGCUCUUUGAAGCCAGUGUUCUCUAUUUUCUUCGAAACUCCAGGUUUUGGGGGCUUCUUUUCUGUUUGUUGUUUGUUUGCUCAGUCUAUGUUUUGAUUUGCUGGUGAGGGGAGGCAGAGAGAGGAAGUGGAGCAGGAGCCCAGCGCGUUUCUAUGGCCACCGCGACCACAGGCAGAGGGGGAGCCGUGGCGGGAAAGGCCAGGCCGCGCUCCACACUGUGGGGGCCACGCCAACCUCCAUCCGACUCCCACAGAAGCGCCCACAAAAGGCACUUUCAUCACGUCCAGUGCCCGCUCCUGGGCCCACGGAAUGCAUUUGUUUUACAGUCUCUGCAGAAACAAUGUUUCCACAUGCCAGCCACGCUCCGCAGACAGAACGUUUCUUUGUGUUAGUGCCUGGUGUGAUGUGACCUCCACUGGUACAGCAUAGCCCGCCACAGCACUCUUCCAUCCCGCAGCCGCAUGAACCCCAGAAGGAGCUUCCACCGCAGGAUCGGGAAGAUGGAGGCUCCUGAAGAGCUGUAGAAGUGCAUCCCAGGCAGAAGCCCAGCAGACAGCAAAGGGCCUGGUUUGUUCAAGGAACUGGAGAGCAAGAAAAUCAGGAGCCAGUUCAUGCAGGGCACAGUUAGCCAAGCCGGACUCACACAGGAGGCCCUUCAUCUUCAUGUUCCCCACAUAGCAGAGGGGAGGGCAGAAGAUGAGAAAGGAGGAGAGAGCAGAGCCAAGAGCCUCCUUUUCUCCCCCUGUGCCCCUCCUACGUGUGGCUCUGGACACCAGGAACCACCCAAGGACAGUGGGACUCCUCGAAAAGAUAAUUGCUCAUGAGGGAUCCAAGAGCAAGGCUUGUUACAUCCUAUAACCUUCACACAAAGUCCAAGUGCCAGGCAGAGACUACCGUGAAUCUCCACAGCAGUGCUCCAAGUUCUGGAUGUCAGAGGUCCAACUUGAGUCUCACUGGGCUGAUGUCAAGAAGCCUGCAGAGUUGCUUUCUUCCUGGAGGCUCUAGGAGAGAUUCUGUUUUCCUGCCUUUGCCACCUUCUAGCGGCCGCCUGUAUUCCUUGGCUUGCACAACCCCUCUGUAUCCUUAAAGCAGUAAUGGCCCGUCAAGUCUCAUGAGACCAUCAGUUUGGUUUC